GACGAACGCUGGCGGCGUGCUUAACACAUGCCAGUCGAACGGUGAAGCGCCUUCCUUUUUGGUGGGGGUGGAUGAGUGGCGAACGGGUGAGUAACACGUGAGUAACCUGCCCCCUUCUUCUGGAUAACCGCAUGAAAGUGUGGCUAAUACGGGAUAUUCUGGGUCUGUCGCAUGAUGGGUCUGGGAAAGGUAUUGUUUCGGUGGGGGGUGGGCUCGCGGCCUAUCAGCUUGUUGGUGGGGUGAUGGCCUACCAAGGCGGUGACGGGUAGCCGGCCUGAGAGGGUGGACGGUCACACUGGGACUGAGACACGGCCCAGACUCCUACGGGAGGCAGCAGUGGGGAAUAUUGCACAAUGGGCGCAAGCCUGAUGCAGCGACGCCGCGUGAGGGAUGGAGGCCUUCGGGUUGUGAACCUCUUUCGCCAGUGAAGCAGGCCUGCCUCGUUUGUGGGUGGGUUGACGGUAGCUGGAUAAGAAGCGCCGGCUAACUACGUG
rnacentral:rRNA from 1 species